GGCCCCAUCGUCUAGUGGCCUAGGACGUGGGCUUCUCAGGCCCAAAACCCGGGUUCGAAUCCCGGUGGGGCCUCCA
rnacentral:tRNA from 1 species